ACCAGCAGCAGCAGCAGCAGCAGCAAUUCAUGGCCAUCACUAUGUCGCAUGCUAGGAUGAAGAGGCAAGAUCACCUUAUUCCUUCUGUUUGUGAAGAAAAUAGAGUUGGGUUUUGAGCUGGUGGUGUUGUACUGCCGUUGCAAUUACUCUGCAAUGAGCAAAUGUGAAACGGAAUGGGGUCAGAGAGCUAUUACAGUCGGACGAUGGACAGACGGCAAACAUUAUUUCAUUCUUUACUUCUGUCAAGGACUAGGUGCUUUAUUUGGGCAUGGUCGAAAAAGGUAAAUAACGAUCUGAGGUGUAACUGGGAAAUCAAAAUAGCACGGAAAGAAGAGCAAGCUGGGAAACCAGAUGCCUACUGCCAAGGAUGGUUUACAUAGAGAAAUCUGCAGCAUCUUCUUAUGAGCUCAUUUAAAACGGAGUGUUGCCAGAACAUAGAAAUUUGCUUUUGCCCAUACUCCCUUUGAGUAUGAAUACCUUUGUACACAUUCUUAAUCCUCUUCUGCUUAUGUAUGAUUUUUAUCUACUUGUAUUUUACAAGAUCAGCAGUUCGAAAAUGGUUAUUUGAAUUUGAGGGAGAAGGAACAUAAAAAAACAUUGGUCUUUUUUGGACCCAAGAGAACUUAAUUAGCAUACGUUUUCAUUGCCGUCUCAUACCCUCAUUUCGCUGGAGAACCACCUCAAAUUCGAACUCUAGAUUAUGAAAAUUCAAUCCUAUUAAUGAUCAUGCAAUAAAUGUU
rnacentral:misc_RNA from 1 species